CGGACGGGGGAGUAAUGUCUGGGAAACUGCCCGAUGGAGGGGGAUAACUACUGGAAACGGUAGCUAAUACCGCAUAACGUCGCAAGACCAAAGAGGGGACCUUAGGGCCUCUUGCCAUCGGAUGUGCCCAGAUGGGAUUAGCUAGUAGGUGGGGUAACGGCUCACCUAGGCGACGAUCCCUAGCUGGUCUGAGAGGAUGACCAGCCACACUGGAACUGAGACACGGUCCAG
rnacentral:rRNA from 1 species